rnacentral:rRNA from 1 species
CCUACGGGUGGCUGCAGUGGGGAAUAUUGGACAAUGGGGGCAACCCUGAUCCAGCCAUGCCGCGUUUGUGAAGAAGGCCCUCGGGUUGUAAAGCACUUUCAGUGAGGAAGAACGCCUGGUGGUUAAUACCCAUCAGGAAAGACAUCACUCACAGAAGAAGCACCGGCUAACUCCGUGCCAGCAGCCGCGGUAAUACGGAGGGUGCGAGCGUUAAUCGGAAUUACUGGGCGUAAAGCGCGCGUAGGUGGCUUGAUAAGCCGGUUGUGAAAGCCCCGGGCUCAACCUGGGAACGGCAUCCGGAACUGUCAAGCUAGAGUGCAGGAGAGGAAGGUAGAAUUCCCGGUGUAGCGGUGAAAUGCGUAGAGAUCGGGAGGAAUACCAGUGGCGAAGGCGGCCUUCUGGACUGACACUGACACUGAGGUGCGAAAGCGUGGGUAGCAAACAGGAUUAGAUACCCUGGUAGUC